UUUCUACCCCCUCCUUUCGAAAAUACUUGUCAUCAAAAUGGAUAAAAAGAGAUGUAUCUAAAACUAAAAUACGUCUAGAUAUAUUUCCUUUUAUCCAUUUUGAUGACAAGUAUUUCCGGACGGAGGGAGUAUUUG
rfam:Triticum aestivum genome assembly, contig: Triticum_aestivum_CS42_TGACv1_scaffold_409924_5BL